AUUGAACGCUGGCGGCAGGCCUAACACAUGCAAGUCGAGCGGAUGAUGGGAGCUUGCUCCUGGAUUCAGCGGCGGACGGGUGAGUAAUGCCUGGGAAUCUGCCUGGUAGUGGGGGACAACGUUUCGAAAGGAACGCUAAUACCGCAUACGUCCUACGGGAGAAAGCAGGGGACCUUCGGGCCUUGCGCUAUCAGAUGAGCCUAGGUCGGAUUAGCUUGUUGGUGAGGUAAUGGCUCACCAAGGCGACGAUCCGUAACUGGUCUGAGAGGAUGAUCAGUCACGCUGGAACUGAGACACGGUGCAGACUCCUACGGGAGGCAGCAGUGGGGAAUAUUGGACAAUGGGCGAAAGCCUGAUCCAGCCAUGCCGCGUGUGUGAAGAAGGUCUUCGGAUUGUAAAGCACUUUAAGUUGGGAGGAAGGGUUGUAGAUUAAUACUCUGCAAUUUUGACGUUACCGACAGAAUAAGCACCGGCUAACUCUGUGCCAGCAGCCGCGGUAAGAC
rnacentral:rRNA from 1 species